rnacentral:rRNA from 1 species
GUUAUGACUCUCGGCAACGGAUAUCUCGGCUCUCGCAUCGAUGAAGAACGUAGCGAAAUGCGAUACCUGGUGUGAAUUGCAGAAUCCCGCGAACCAUCGAGUCUUUGAACGCAAGUUGCGCCCGAGGCCGCCGGGCCGAGGGCACGCCUGCCUGGGCGUCUCGC